AUUGAACGCUGGCGGCAUGCCUUACACAUGCAAGUCGAACGGCAGCACGGGAGCAAUCCUGGUGGCGAGUGGCGAACGGGUGAGUAAUAUAUCGGAACGUGCCCAGUCGUGGGGGAUAACGGAGCGAAAGCUUUGCUAAUACCGCAUACGAUCUACGGAUGAAAGCAGGGGACCGCAAGGCCUUGCGCGGACGGAGCGGCCGAUGGCCGAUUAGGUAGUUGGCGGGAUAAAAGCUUACCAAGCCGACGAUCUGUAGCUGGUCUGAGAGGACGAUCAGCCAGACUGGGAAGGAGACACGGCGCAGACUCCUACGGGAGGCAGCAGUGGGGAAUUUUGGACAAUGGGCGAAAGCCUGAUCCAGCAAUGCCGCGUGCAGGAUGAAGGCCUUCGGGUUGUAAACUGCUUUUGUACGGAACGAAAAGCCCGGGGUUAAUACCCUGGGGUCAUGACGGUACCGUAAGAAUAAGCACCGGCUAACUACGUGCCAGCCGCCGCAGUAACAC
rnacentral:rRNA from 1 species